CAGUCGCCACGGGAAUACGAAGGGUGCAAGCGUUACUCGGAAUUACUGGGCGUAAAGCGUGCGUAGGUGGUGGUUUAAGUCCGUUGUGAAAGCCCUGGGCUCAACCUGGGAAUUGCAGUGGAUACUGGGUCACUAGAGUGUGGUAGAGGAUAGUGGAAUUUCCGGUGUAGCAGUGAAAUGCGUAGAGAUCGGAAGGAACAUCUGUGGCGAAGGCGACUAUCUGGGCCAACACUGACACUGAGAGACGAAAGCUAGGGGAGCAAAUGGGAUUAGAUACCCCAGUAGUCCCUGUCUCUUAUAC
rnacentral:rRNA from 1 species